CUAGGGUCGAUUCUAGAUGAUGGA
rnacentral:siRNA from 1 species